GUAGUUAGCUCAGGGCUAAUCUUCCCCCCUCAGAAAAAAAAAAAAAAUGACCCAGAGUGCCCAGGAGGAUGGCCACAGCCCAGAGGCCUGGCCAGGUGGGCCCAGCCUGGGGGAGGGCACUGAGGUGGCUGUGCGGGGACAGGGUGGUUAAGGUGCUACCGUGAGCACCUCGAGUGAGAUGCGCCAAGAUGGGGCCUGUGAGGACCUGUUUUCUGGAGUGCGUUUGGGAGUUAGUUACUGUCUAGGGUCUGGGGUGCUGGCUGCUACAUUCAGGACUUGAACCGUCACUUGGCUUUCCACUUUGCCAGGUGGCGAGGCCAACAUGCAGAGCAGGACCAGGACUGGCCUGGAGCGGCACUGGGAAGCCACGGGGCCUCAGGUGGCACCCACGUCAGCCGCGCUCCGAGGAACGCAUCUUCAAGUGGAGGCCCCUAGUUGGUAAUCCAGGAGUCACAGGGAAACAGGAGCCGAACACAUGCCAAGUGCCAGGAGGAGACGCAGGGCAGGCGGCAAGCGGCAGGAGGAGGUGGCGCCAACAGGCAUGGCACUCACCCUCUUCCCAUGUGGCCCAGACGUGCCCGUAGAAACGGCCCAGCUCCCUCACGGCUCUCCUGCCCCAGCUGCCCGGGCCCCUCCCGACACCUUCUCAGCUAUGUGCACCAAGCACAGAGGCCGGGCUCGGCUUCACGUUCUCCCUCUAUCCACAACUUGCUCACAAGAGAAUCUUUCCUGCCAGAAAAUAAACGCUCUGGAAAGACCCAGAACUUUUGUGAUGUCAGAGAAGCAUAGAAGAUUCUUAAAUGGGCAGAAAGGCUUGGUUGUCCAAGGCUCCCUUCCAGGUUAUCUGAGGCUCCGGGUCUGUGUGUCCUUGUCCGGGGGCCGCCUAUAGCACCGAGCUGCACAAAACAGGCGGCACCAGCGAUGUCCCUCGUGGCAGCCGCGGCGUGUUCUGCCUGGUGCUCCGCGCUCUCUCCCAACGGCCGAGGUGCACGCAGUCUGAAUCCUCCUCGAAACCAGUCUCACGUUUUACCAGCUUCCUUCAUUAAUUCGUGAGUUAAACAAAGUGUGAAAGUCAUCUCAGCUCGGGGGCUACGCAACAAUGUGCCAUGGGCUGGACUUGGCUGCAGCUUGCUGAGCCCCGGAACACACCCUCACGAGGCAGUACCUGCAGCGACGACGGCUGGCAGAGGCGAGCCUCCCACCGCAUUUUUGCUUUGACGGAAGUUUCUAGCAAGUGAAAGUGCUCCUCCUUCUGUUCCCCUGGCUAUGACUGAGGCUGCACCUGCAGCAGCGCUUUCUCUAGACCUGAGAUGGAGGCGAGGCCUCAGCACAGGCAGAGGCCCCGAGCUCACGAGAACUCACCUCUGCAGCUC